AAAGCAUAUUAAUACAUUUGGCAACGAAGUAAUGGAUUCUGAAGCUGCUGUUCCGGCGAUACGAAUCGGAGCAGGAGUAGUGGUUUCCGGUGAGUUGAUUUUUCCGGCGAGAGAGUAGCGACGCAAAACUCGCCACCGGAGUUAUUUGAUUUAGCAACAAUAGCGGAACGCUCCGGCAGCUCCGUUACGUACGCCGGCCGUUCUUAACUGAAGUUCACAAAGCUUCCUUCAAUUACGCUACAAGUAAAGCGAAAGAGUUCGGUGAAUCGGAGAGGCACAGAGGAGGCAUUUCGAUUGCUCUGGAUAUUUCUUGGUCCAGUGAUCGUCGGCGCGUCAUGCGGCGGAGUUUUGAGGAGAAAUUCCGGUUUUCGGAGGAGGUUGGGAAGUAGGUGGAUUGAAAAUUUGAAAGUGAAGAAGAAGAAGGAGGCUCGGAUUUUUUAUUUGGUGAAGAAAACGAAGAAUUUGGUGAGUAAGUAAGCGAAAAGCGAAGUUAAAGAAGAGGAGCGGGUGGGGGAAAUGAACGGAAUCAUAAUUGAAUACUAUACCUGCGGAGUAUUAAUUGGGGACUGGAGUGGGUUUGCCUAGGUGUAGCUCCUAUCUACUGACCGUUGCAUUUCCAUGCUAUCUUUCUUGAAGUUUGAUUCUUUUGAGGUUCUUUGCCUCCACGAUCUCUUUAAACUAUGAAACUGGAAAGUGACCAUCCAGUUUACCAUUCAAUUACCAGCCCAAAGUGUGUUCCAAAACUACUUGAAUGCAACUACGAUACUCUUGAGUCACAAAACCAGGUCAUGAGUAAAAAUCCAAUUGGACUCUCAUGCCCAGAGAAGAUAAACCAGGAGGAUGCCAUUCAAUCUUCAUAUUCUACUGGUCAUGAGAAUAGUUGCACGGGUACUAAAWUUAGCUGCUCGUCUGUAGAUGGUUUUGAUGAUAAUGCUGAUGGUAUUAGUGCAUUUGUGGCACCAUCCAGUAAGAAACCCUCAGACUCGUACGUGGACAAAAGUGUCAUGGAAUUUCAAAUGCCAAAAACGAUAGUUUGUGACCAAGAAAUUGAUGUCAAUGAUGUGAAGGACAUCUGCAUUGACGAUGGGUUGUCUUCUCUGGAAAAUUUCUUCUUUAGGAGUACGGAUGAGAAGUCAAUCUUCAAAAUCCUUUCUCUGGAGGAAGAUCCAAAUGAGAGUCCUAUAAAAGAACCAGAGAAUUCUUCUGACGUCUCCAAGUCAAUAGCAGAUGAUAAAAAAAUUUCUUUAGAAGACCACUUUGCAAGGGAUUGGACUACUCAUGAUGAUGCUAAGGAUUUGACACAGAUUGAGGAAGCACAACUCGAUCUGAGAGAGGCAAAAGUUUCGUUGCAAAAGCUAGUUAGAAAAAGUUGCUAUUCUGAGACUUUAUACAACAUUGGUGUCCAGAUUUCUGGUGAAAAAGCAAACUUGGAUGACUCUGCUUCGGUUUCCAAAUCUGUUGCUCUGGGUUCUUCGGCAGAAUCACCAAAUGAUAACAAUCCAACAUAUCCUUUAGCUCAUAAUCAUGAAUUUGAGAAUGGAAGUAUUACAUUGAAUUUCAAUUCAGUCUCUCCUGUGGUCAAUGGUGGAGAAGAAAAUCAUGGAAAUACCAUCUUAAACUAUCCAGCACCCUUGGCAAGUAGUUCAGUGACACAGGAGUGUCGCCAAAGUAGUGGUUCYGCAGUUGAAACCCAAGUUUCAACCAAUCUGGAAUUUAGAACUUCAGAUGCUCGAUUAGUUUCAAGUCAGACGCAGCAUGACAUUGGCGAGUCUAGCUUCUCUGCUGUAGAUCCGUUAGCCAGUCUUGUUACUUACUCGGGCCCAAUAGCUUAUUCUGGAAGUAUCUCCCUCCGAUCAGAAAGUAGUGCGGCAAGCACUCGUUCUUUUGCCUUUCCCAUAUUACAGUCUGAAUGGAAUAGCAGUCCGGUUAAAAUGGUAAAAGCUGAACGGAGGCAUUACCGGAAGUACAGAGGUUGGAGGGAGGGCCUUCUAUGUUGCAGAUUCUGAGUGCUUCUUUGCUAUCAGUAGGUUUAGAUUCUGUUUGUGCAUCAUCAAAAUUUAUUUCACACACAUGAGUUUGAUUCCUUUUGGGUAUUUGUGUAAAGAUUUCAAAAUUCAAAGUAGAAGAAGAAGAAGAAGAAGAAGAAGAAGAAGAAGAAGAAAAGGAGAACGUAUGGAAGGGGUUAAAAGAUGAGUAUGAAAUGACAACACAGAGAAAUGGAGGAAAGCGAUGGGAGAGUUGAGAAAUGAAAGAAAAAGUGGUGAAGCGAUUUUGAAAAAGUGAAAGAUCCAAAUGAACAGAACAGAGAUGAAAUCUUUUUUUUUUCUUACCUGAUGAAAGGCACUAUUAGUAAAAAGUGGAGAUUUAAGAGAGAGGAAGAGAAGAAAUUGGUAUCAAGGUUGUAUCAACUAUUUCUAAAUUUCAUUUUUUC